UUAUUGUUGCCUGGAGCGAUUUGUUCGAUCUUUUCAACCUCGACGCUUUGGAUCUUUCUCUCAUUCGGUGCUUUGCAUUGCACAUGCAACAAGAGACAAGGCGUCGAACCGGAAAGAAGUGUGGGUACAUUGACCCACAGAUGAUGACGGUGACAUUUAUGAAUUCAGAUAGAGAUAGCUUGGUCAGGUACAUGGUGAAGUGCAUGCGAGUACAUGCUGACA